rnacentral:lncRNA from 1 species
UGAAGAAGGAUGAUACUUGAAGACAUGCCUCAGUCUUUAUAUGAAACAUCUUCUUUACCCACAAGUCCCAGGAAACUUUCCAUAUCAUUUUCUACACUCUUCACUUUCCCCACCAUUUUCUCUGAUUUUUCUGGUAUGCUAGGCUUCUUGGUAAGAAAUUUUCGCAUUCCUCUUAACUUAACUGUAGGCUCAAGAGUAUAGCAAUGAUCAUCAAGAGCCUUGAACAUGGG